UACGAAGGGGGCUAGCGUUGCUCGGAUUUAUUGGGCUUAAAGGGUGCGUAGGCGGCCGAUCAAGUCAGAGGUGAAAGCCCAAGGCUCAACCUUGGAAUUGCCUUUGAUACUGUUCGGCUAGAGACCGGAAGAGGUUAGUGGAACUGCGAGUGUAGAGGUGAAAUUCGUAGAUAUUCGCAAGAACACCAGUGGCGAAGGCGGCUAACUGGUCCGGUUCUGACGCUGAGGCGCGAAGGCGUGGGGAGCAAACAGG
rnacentral:rRNA from 1 species